GCAAGUGUGGGGUAGCGGUUCGAGUGUUGGAUUACGAAUCUGAGGAUCAGGGUUCGAAUCCCAGCUCGGUCA